rnacentral:tRNA from 1 species
GUUUUAAUAGUUUAAAAAAAAACGCCGGUCUUGUAAACCGGAGAUAAGUCUGGCCCCCGCUUUUAAAACU